rnacentral:rRNA from 1 species
UACAGAGGUCCCAAGCGUUGUUCGGAUUCACUGGGCGUAAAGGGUGCGUAGGCGGUCGGGUAAGUCUGAUGUGAAAUCCCGCAGCUUAACUGCGGAACUGCAUUGGAUACUAUCCGGCUCGAGGAAUGGAGGGGAGACUGGAAUACUUGGUGUAGCAGUGAAAUGCGUAGAUAUCAAGUGGAACACCAGUGGCGAAGGCGAGUCUCUGGACAUUUCCUGACGCUGAGGCACGAAAGCCAGGGGAGCAAACGGG